rnacentral:rRNA from 1 species
GUGCCAGCCGCCGCGGUAAUACGUAGGUGGCAAGCGUUUUCCGGAAUUAUUGGGCGUAAAGGGCUCGCAGGCGGUUUCUUAAGUCUGAUGUGAAAGCCCCCGGCUCAACCGGGGAGGGUCAUUGGAAACUGGGGAACUUGAGUGCAGAAGAGGAGAGUGGAAUUCCACGUGUAGCGGUGAAAUGCGUAGAGAUGUGAAGGAACACCAGUGGCGAAGGCGACUCUCUGGUCUGUAACUGACGCUGAGGAGCGAAAGCGUGGGGAGCAAACAGGA